rnacentral:lncRNA from 1 species
AUAAUUUGCAGUUGAAAUUUUCCUUUUAAAUAUUUACUGAAUAAUUUAACCUGAUGUGACAAUUUCCAAAAAGAAGUGUUUUGAAAUUUGAAUAGAAAAAAUUGUCUCCUUUUUAACUAAGAUAUUUUGGUAAAAUGACUGAUUCAAUAGAUUAGGAUAGAACAAGUUAGUUGUAUAAGUAGGAUAAUCCCAACAGGCAAAGCCUGCAUAGUUUUUAAAAUAUAGUUACACUGCAUUUGAAAAUGCCAUUUAAAUUUCAUUAUGUGAUAAUGGACCAGGAAGUUCAAUUGUACUCUUAAGAGUUGAUGAACUGGAAACAGAAUAAAUUUUCUCUGAUCUUUAUUUCAUGAAGUGGUAUCAGAGAUUCAAAUUGGUAUUUUUUCCAUUUUUAAAUAUUGCAAUUAAAAAACUAUUAUAAUGGUUUAAAAAAAGAUUGCAGCCUUUAUCAAAAAUGACAAUAAAUAAAAUGCAUUAUCUAUUAUUAGACCCAAGUGUUACAAGUAUGUGGAAUUUUAUUCAGAAAUCUUUGAAUUUUCAAUAGUGUUUUUAAAUCUAGUGUAUUUAGCCUUAUUAGUCUUUUUAAUUUGAGAAUUUGUUAAACAAUGCAAAAACUGUUUCUAGUGCCUACCUCUCUCUAUAUAUAUAUACUGCAAUUAAAAUUGAUUUUGACAGAAUGAAUUCAUGGAAAAUUUUAGUUUAGUUUAGGUUGUUGUUUUUUUAAGAAGAAAAAAAAAGUAUUCUGAGAAUGGCCUCUCACUUAGAUAAAAUAAAAUAUAUUAAAUAUUUGCAAAAUGCCAUUCUGUUCGCUUCAGUUACUAAUCUAAAUAUUUAAGAUUUAGAAAAACAAUGUUUUGAACUAUUUUGAAUCAUUUUAUUUCUAACCAGUGGGUUUUUUUUUUGAAAAAAAAAAUGAUUAAAUGCAUGAAAUUUAAGUCCUAAUAAAACAAGUCAAUAUAAGGCAAACCAUUAUAUGCUAUGUUUUCUUUUGUUUAUUAAAAUCGCAAUAGACAAAAAAAGUUUAAUACAAUUUUACUCCAUACACAUGGCUGCAGUUUGGUAUAAAAUACCCUGGAUGAAGAUUUUGAUAUUUUUUAGGUGGCUUUAUUUCUGAGCAAUUAGAAAUUUUAGGUUGAUAUAGAACUCACAAAGGGUACAUAAUCCCAUUUGAGAAAGAUUGAAUUUUGAAUCAAUUCAUUUCAUUGUUUCACAAGAUAAAACUGUAUAAUUAUAUUGUUGUCUAUUGUUUAUUAUAUUUUAUGAAGCCGUCCAUUUUUUUCAUCAGAAA